rnacentral:misc_RNA from 1 species
UCCGUUUUAACAACGGCAGUCUCCCUAGAGUCCCCACCCGAAGUGCUGGCAACUAGGGACAAGGGUUUCGCUCGUUCAGGGACUUAACCCGACAUCUCACGACACGAGCUGACGACAGCCAUGCAACACCUAUACUGGUUCCACCGCGAGGGCGUCACUCCCCUUUCAGGGAGCUAAUCCCAGCAUUUCGAACCCGGGUAAGGUUCUUCGCGUUGCUUCGAAUUAAGCAACAUGCUCCACCGCUUGUGUGAGCCCCCGUCAAUUCCUUUGAGUUUUAGCCUUGCGACCGUACUCCCCAGGCGGGGCACUUAACGCAUUUGUUACGGAAACGAGUGUCAUAAUAACACCCGCAACCUAGUGCCCAUCGUUUACAGCUAGGACUAC